UUAGUUGACUGAGAAAUAGACGGU
rnacentral:miRNA from 1 species